UUGAACGCUGGCGGCAGGCCUAACACAUGCAAGUCGAGCGGAUGAAGGGAGCUUGCUCCUGGAUUCAGCGGCGGACGGGUGAGUAAUGCCUAGGAAUCUGCCUGGUAGUGGGGGAUAACGUCCGGAAACGGGCGCUAAUACCGCAUACGUCCUGAGGGUGAAAGUGGGGGAUCUUCGGACCUCACGCUAUCAGAUGAGCCUAGGUCGGAUUAGCUAGUUGGUGGGGUAAAGGCCUACCAAGGCGACGAUCCGUAACUGGUCUGAGAGGAUGAUCAGUCACACUGGAACUGAGACACGGUCCAGACUCCUACGGGAGGCAGCAGUGGGGAAUAUUGGACAAUGGGCGAAAGCCUGAUCCAGCCAUGCCGCGUGUGUGAAGAAGGUCUUCGGAUUGUAAAGCACUUUAAGUUGGGAGGAAGGGCAGUAAGUUAAUACCUUGCUGUUUUGACGUUACCAACAGAAUAAGCACCGGCUAACUUCGUG
rnacentral:rRNA from 1 species